rnacentral:rRNA from 1 species
CACGUAGGGUGCGAGCGUUGUCCGGAUUUAUUGGGCGUAAAGAGCUCGUAGGCGGCUUGUCGCGUCGAAUGUGAAAACCCACAGCUCAACUGUGGGCUUGCAUUCGAUACGGGCAGGCUAGAGUUCGGUAGGGGAGACUGGAAUUCCUGGUGUAGCGGUGAAAUGACGCAGAGUAUCAAGGAGGAACACCCGGUGGGCGAAGGCGGGUCUCUGGGCCGA